AGAGUUUGAUCAUGGCUCAGAAUGAACGCUGGCGGCAUGCCUAACACAUGCAAGUCGAACGAGACCUUCGGGUCUAGUGGCGCACGGGUGCGUAACGCGUGGGAAUCUACCCUUGGGUUCGGAAUAACUCAGAGAAAUUUGAGCUAAUACCGGAUGAUGACGUAAGUCCAAAGAUUUAUCGCCCAAGGAUGAGCCCGCGUAGGAUUAGCUUGUUGGUGAGGUAAAAGCUCACCAAGGCGACGAUCCUUAGCUGGUCUGAGAGGAUGAUCAGCCACACUGGGACUGAGACACGGCCCAGACUCCUACGGGAGGCAGCAGUGGGGAAUAUUGGACAAUGGGCGAAAGCCUGAUCCAGCAAUGCCGCGUGAGUGAUGAAGGCCUUAGGGUUGUAAAGCUCUUUUACCCGGGAAGAUAAUGACUGUACCGGAGAAUAGCCCAGAUUUCCCCC
rnacentral:rRNA from 1 species